rnacentral:tRNA from 2 species
AGUACCUGGCUACGAACCAGGCGGUCGGAGGUUCGAAUCCUCCAGGACGCGCCA